rnacentral:pre_miRNA from 1 species
AGUGGAAUUGCUGGAUCAUAUGGUAAUUCUAUGUUUAACUUUUUGAGGAACCGCCAAACUGUUUUCCACAGCAGCUGCACCAUUUUGAAUUCCCACCAGCAAU